GCGCCUAUAGCUCAAUUGGACAGAGCGUCAGCCUCCGGAGCUGAAGGUUUCGAGUUCGACCCUCGAUAGGCGCA
rnacentral:tRNA from 2 species